rnacentral:misc_RNA from 1 species
AACCUAGCACACCUGCGGUGUGUACCUGCGGAAGGAUCACUACCGAGUUAGGGUAGUUACUCGCUGCCCGACCUCCCAACCCUGUGUCUACCACACUUUGUCGUUGCUUCGGCGGACCGGUCGACCAACUGGUCGUGACCGCCGGGGGCUGGCUCUGUCACCCCUGGAGAGCGUCCGCCGAUGGCCCAACCACAAACUCUUGUACCGAAACGUGUCGUCUGAAUAAUUGAGAAAUCAAAU